rnacentral:lncRNA from 1 species
GACGGAGUCCGUGUGUGCCGCACAGCCCAACAAGCCUGCUGCGGGCCUCUAGAGAAAAGCGCUCAGAGGCGGGCGGAGGAGAGGGGCUGAACCGGUGGAAGGUCGGUGACUGCGGAGGUCAGCGGGCGGGGCCUGCCGCCGCCGCCGCAGAGAGCUCAAAUCGCUGAAGACUGGGGCACAUCGCUGGAGACGAAACUGCGGUGGAUCCGGGAGGACUGUCACAGGCACCCUGCAGCCACUUCAUCUUCCCAAGGCCGGGACUUGCCUUUUGGUGUCCCCGUGGCAGUGACAGGGAAGCGGGAAGCUGUGUUGGCCCCACCAGGUAGCCCCGGAUUGAGCUCCCGCUGGUCACCCCUUCGCACUGUGGACUCCCACCCCAGCCAGUGGUCCCUGGAGCUUCUUGGCGGCAUCCCUGUUUGCUGGCCUCCUGCCUCCUUGCAGACCUCUGUCGCCUCCAGGUCCCUCAGCCCACAGUCUCCUCUGUGGGCAUCUCCAGCUGGCUUCGAUGGUGGCCUUCCCUGCUUCCCUAAUUCCCGGGACUUGCAGGACAAGCUCAAACCCUGUGGGCUGGACCUGGGGGCCUAUGGCAUGAAACUGAGAUGUGCACGGAAUCUGAUUUCUUUCCCUGCUGCAGAUACAGCUGGAUGCCACCUUCCCACUGUCCCCGCAGCCAGGAGUGGCCGUGCGACUGAGUUCUGGCCCAUGGAAUAAGUCAGAAGGAAGGCACACAAAUCCGUGCUGGGCCCUCCCCGCAAAUUCCUACACAAUUUGUCCUCUACUCUCUCUGGCCCUCUAUACUGGCCAGGUCCAGGACCCCCAGGAAAGGAACCUGAGGCCCUAUGAGAUGGGAGACCCACAAAACUGAAGGUACCUGCAUCCCUGUGUCCUCGUUUGGCUGUGGACUGAACCCCAGCACUUCUCUGGGCUGCGGAGGGGGACUAGAUCUGUGCGCUGUUACAGCGUUGAGAUUCGGGGGUGGUUUGAGAUGGCAUCUAGCCCCCCAUGACAAAUACAGGUCUCUGUUGCUCUGGUUCUAGUCUCCCUUCCAGUCCUCUUCCACUUCUCCCUCACUUGUCUGUGAUACAGUGGAGACACUGGCCGUGCUAGCUGGCCUGGGACCUUGUCCUCUCUCUGGCUCUAUGAUGUCCUUUCCCUCCUCCCAUAUCUCCCUGGGACAGCCCAGCCAUCCUUCUCCAAAGACUUCAGGCAUCUUUGGGAUGAGAGGUGUUGGCCCCUUCUCAGUUUCUACGGCAUUCUUUUGGCAAACAUCUCACAGCCGUUUGGCCUGGUCUUUGCACAUGCAUUCACUUCCCUGUGGGGACUUGCCUCUUGUCCUGGCUUCCAGGACAUCACACAUGCCGGGUUCCCCUCCUGCCCUUCAUCUUGGAUAGUCUUCUCCACCUCUCCUCACCCACACAGGGCCCUCAUCCAACCUCACGGCCUCAAACCUAGUCAGCACACUGAGAACAGCCCCGUUUCCAUCUCCAGCCUGAACCUCUCCCCAAGCUCAGCCCAACUCCCUAUUCAGCAUUGCCCCAUGGAUUUCUGAUGGAUACCCCCAACUCAGCAUGCUCUCACAUGAGCUGCAGCUCUUCCCCGCCUAUCCCUACCUCACCCUCAGUGAAUGGCAAUCCUUGACUUCCAGUCCUCACGCCCAGCCCUCUUUUUUCUCAUAACACACCCAGGCUACGCGCCAAUCUCUUGGGAGCCUGCUCCACACAACACACCUCUACCCCGGCUACUUCUCACAUAUGCCGCACAGCAUCUGCACCCCAGCCUCCAUAUAUCUCCCCCAGACUGUUGAAACAGCCUCCUUAACUUGGCUGCUUGUGUCUAUCCUUGUCGCAAAACAGUCUUUUCUCAGAACAGCCUGAGGUAUUCUUUUAAAAUAUAAAGUUAGAUCGUGUCACUUCUCAACGUGAAACCCCUCUAAAAGACUUUCUGUUUUACCCAAUGUAAAAACAAGUCCUGACGUCGGCUUCUAGGGACUUCCAGGAUUUCUGACCUCACCUCCUUCUUCAGCCUCCAGGCCUUUCUGACCUGAGGGCCCUGGAUGUGUCUUCACGAGGUGACCCUGUGGCUCGCGCCCCUGCCCCCCUCGACACCUGACUCAGCAGGCCCCUUCUUGGUGAAGCCUUCCUUGAGCUCCCAGAUGCCCCUGGCCUGCCCUUUGUCUUCCUCUAGCUGUUGUUCUCAAAACACUUCUCAUGUUCUAAUCAGUGUUCCUGUUGUAGUUUGUCUGUGUCUUUUCCCUGGAAUGAGGGUUUCAGAGAGCGAGAAUUUUUGUCUAUUUUGGAGCCUGUGGCAUUGGCACGGCCUGGCAUGACGCCUGCCAGGGAGCAUUUGCUGUGUGACGGCUCUGCUCCCAGUGCUAAGCCUUCAUCACCCGCACACCGACCCUGGGGGCCAGGGGUGGUGGGGGUAUCAUGCAGGCUUAGCUGUAUGUUCUGCAGAGGCACCUCUGAGGCCACCUGGGUGGGAUGAGCCUGCCUGUCUCGACCACGGCAGCCUGCCCCCUCGGAUCAGUAAUCAUACCCUUUGAUGGAAAACCUUCCGAAAAGAAGGCUUGAGGCAAGAGACAAGAGUGCAAGUUCACAUGCCAGAUGGCAUCACCAAACGCUGCUCUGCCAGAUCUAGUGGCCUAGUCCACGUGCCAGAUCUCAAGAGCAUUUUGCAAAAUGUAUUAAUUGAUUUUUAUAACAUCUCUGCCAGACAGAGGAGGAAUCAGUCCCCUGAUCAAAGAAAACUCUGUUUGGGGGAUAAAUUGGGCACAAAGAUGGAGCAGGGAAGCCUCAGGGUGCCAGGAACUGGGUGGGGGGCUCAGAUCAGUCCUCAAGUCCAAGCUUAGACUCAGUUGCCUGUGACUUUGUUAGAGAUGUGUUGGGGGAGGGGCUGUAGCUUAAGUGCCUGGUUUUGAUUCCCCAACCUACCGGCUCCCAGUUGGGUGAUUUAAUCUUUCUGUCCCUCAGUUUCCCCAGCUCUAAAAUGGGGAUGCAUAGUAUUCUUUUAAUUAGGACCACUGUCACUAGAUACUGAUUAAAGGGUCAACACUCAAUAAAUGUUACUAGUAAUAACCAAUGUCAUAGCAGAGCCACUGGCCACAGCCUCCUGCUGCCUGCCUUCUGUGUGUUACUUGUAUGUGCCUGGCCCCAGCUCCUUGUCCGCUCAGACCCACAGAAGUCUGGGGCUGGACACAUGGAGCCUCAGAAAGUGCUUUUCAGAUCCCUUUGGUCCCCCUGGGAUUAGGGUCCCCCGAAGCCCCAUGGCAGUC